CUGUCAGUACGUGGUAGUUGAUGUUGUGUUAACUAGCAGGUGUAGUUUACUAGCUGUUACUGGCUAGGGUUAGACACUUCAACGGAGCAAUGGCUUUUGGGUGUUGGUUGGGGUAAGUUUGGUGGUGGGCUUAAAUGUUUUGAAUAAGUGUUGAUGCUGGCACACUUUAUUGACCCGUGCUAACAUUUUUCUUACAGAGUAUUUGUACUCCUCUCUGUAUGGCCUUGUGUAAGAUGUUCUGACCUUCCAAGAGGGGCCAUUGAGACUGCAUGCCGGGAUCGAUACCUGUUGGUAACAACCCAACUCUCAUUUGCUGGGAAUGAACCUCGCUUUGAAGCGGUUGAUGCUGAUGGUGUUCACCCCAUCACUGAGCAGUAUGGGUCAGAGUGUGGCUACAUGUUCAGUAUCCUCCCUCUGCCUGGCCA